rnacentral:rRNA from 1 species
UAGUGAUCCGGUGGUUCUGAAUGGAAGGGCCAUCGCUCAACGGAUAAAAGGUACUCCGGGGAUAACAGGCUGAUACCGCCCAAGAGUUCAUAUCGACGGCGGUGUUUGGCACCUCGAUGUCGGCUCAUCACAUCCUGGGGCUGAAGUAGGUCCCAAGGGUAUGGCUGUUCGCCAUUUAAAGUGGUACGCGAGCUGGGUUUAGAACGUCGUGAGACAGUUCGGUCCCUAUCUGCCGUGGGCGCUGGAGAACUGAGGGGGGCUGCUCCUAGUACGAGAGGACCGGAGUGGACGCAUCACUGGUGUUCGGGUUGUCAUGCCAAUGGCACUGCCCGGUAGCUAAAUGCGGAAGAGAUAAGUGCUGAAAGCAUCUAAGCACGAAACUUGCCCCG